GACGUACUCCCUCCGUUCGGAAUUACUUGUCUUGGAUAUGGAUGUAUCUAGAACUAAAAUACAUCUAGAUACAUCCAUUUCUGCGACAAGUAAUUCCGAACGGAGGGAGUAGCUC
rnacentral:pre_miRNA from 1 species